GACAGAGGGUGCAAACGUUGUUCGGAAUUACUGGGCGUAAAGCGAGUGUAGGCGGUUUCGUAAGUCGGAUGUGAAAGCCCCGGGCUCAACCCGGGAAGUGCACUCGAUACUGCGAGGCUAGAGUAUCGGAGAGGUUGGUGGAAUUCUCGGUGUAGAGGUGAAAUUCGUAGAUAUCGAGAGGAACACCGGUGGCGAAGGCGGCCAACUGGACGAAUACUGACGCUGAGACUCGAAAGCGUGGGGGAGCAAACAGG
rnacentral:rRNA from 1 species